AACGAACGCUGGCGGCAUGCCUAACACAUGCAAGUCGAACGAGACCUUCGGGUCUAGUGGCGCACGGGUGCGUAACGCGUGGGAACCUGCCCUUAGGUUCGGAAUAACUCCCCGAAAGGGGUGCUAAUACCGGAUAAUGUCUUCGGACCAAAGAUUUAUCGCCUUUGGUUGGGCCCGCGUUGGAUUAGCUAGUUGGUAGGGUAAAAGCCUACCAAGGCGACGAUCCAUAGCUGGUCUGAGAGGAUGAUCAGCCACACUGGGACUGAGACACGGCCCAGACUCCUACGGGAGGCAGCAGUGGGGAAUAUUGGACAAUGGGCGAAAGCCUGAUCCAGCAAUGCCGCGUGAGUGGUGAAGGCCUUAGGGUUGUAAAGCUCUUUUACCCGGGAUGAUAAUGACAGUACCGGGAGAAUAAGCUCCGGCUAACUCCGUG
rnacentral:rRNA from 1 species